rnacentral:rRNA from 1 species
AUGAACGCUGGCGGCGUGCCUAAUACAUGCAAGUCGAGCGAACAGACGAGGAGCUUGCUCCUCUGACGUUAGCGGCGGACGGGUGAGUAACACGUGGAUAACCUACCUAUAAGACUGGGAUAACUUCGGGAAACCGGAGCUAAUACCGGAUAAUAUAUUGAACCGCAUGGUUCAAUAGUGAAAGACGGUUUUGCUGUCACUUAUAGAUGGAUCCGCGCCGCAUUAGCUAGUUGGUAAGGUAACGGCUUACCAAGGCAACGAUGCGUAGCCUACCUGAGAGGGUGAUCGGCCACACUGGAACUGAGACACGGUCCAGACUCCUACGGGAGGCAGCAGUAGGGAAUCUUCCGCAAUGGGCGAAAGCCUGACGGAGCAACGCCGCGUGAGUGAUGAAGGUCUUCGGAUCGUAAAACUCUGUUAUUAGGGAAGAACAAAUGUGUAAGUAACUAUGCACGUCUUGACGGUACCUAAUCAGAAAGCCACGGCUAACUACGUG